AUUGAACGCUGGCGGCAUGCCUUACACAUGCAAGUCGAACGGCAGCACGGGUGCUUGCCCCUGGUGGCGAGUGGCGAACGGGUGAGUAAUACAUCGGAACAUGUCCUGUAGUGGGGGAUAGCCCGGCGAAAGCCGGAUUAAUACCGCAUACGAUCCACGGAUGAAAGCGGGGGCCCUUCGGGCCUCGCGCUAUAGGGUUGGCCGAUGGCUGAUUAGCUAGUUGGUGGGGUAAAGGCCUACCAAGGCGACGAUCAGUAGCUGGUCUGAGAGGACGACCAGCCACACUGGGACUGAGACACGGCCCAGACUCCUACGGGAGGCAGCAGUGGGGAAUUUUGGACAAUGGGCGAAAGCCUGAUCCAGCAAUGCCGCGUGUGUGAAGAAGGCCUUCGGGUUGUAAAGCACUUUUGUCAGGAAAGAAAUCCUUGACUCUAAUACAGUCGGGGGAUGACGGUACCGGAAGAAUAAGCACCGGCUAACUACGU
rnacentral:rRNA from 1 species